GCCCCCUUGGCGGAACCGGUAGACGCACGCGACUUAAAAUCGCGAGCCGCAUGGCGUGCCGGUUCGAGUCCGGCAGGGGGCACCA
rnacentral:tRNA from 1 species